rnacentral:rRNA from 1 species
AGUGAACGCUGGCGGUAGGCCUAACACAUGCAAGUCGAACGGCAGCACAGUAAGAGCUUGCUCUUACGGGUGGCGAGUGGCGGACGGGUGAGGAAUACAUCGGAAUCUACUUUUUCGUGGGGGAUAACGUAGGGAAACUUACGCUAAUACCGCAUACGACCUACGGGUGAAAGCAGGGGAUCUUCGGACCUUGCGCGAUUGAAUGAGCCGAUGUCGGAUUAGCUAGUUGGCGGGGUAAAGGCCCACCAAGGCGACGAUCCGUAGCUGGUCUGAGAGGAUGAUCAGCCACACUGGAACUGAGACACGGUCCAGACUCCUACGGGAGGCAGCAGUGGGGAAUAUUGGACAAUGGGCGCAGGCCUGAUCCAGCCAUACCGCGUGGGUGAAAAAGGCCUUCGGGUUGUAAAGCCCUUUUGUUGGGAAAGAAAAGCAGCAGGUUAAUACCCCGCUGUUCUGACGGUACCCAAAGAAUAAGCACCGGCUAACUUCGUG